rnacentral:rRNA from 1 species
CCUACUGGUGGCUGCAGUGGGGAAUAUUGCACAAUGGGGGAAACCCUGAUGCAGCGACGCCGCGUGAGUGAAGAAGUAAUUCGUUAUGUAAAGCUCUAUCAGCAGGGAAGAAAAUGACGGUACCUGAGUAAUAAGCCCCGGCUAACUACGUGCCAGCAGCCGCGGUAAUACGUAGGGGGCAAGCGUUCUCCGGAUUUACUGGGUGUAAAGGGAGCGUAGACGGCCGUGUAAGUCUGGAGUGAAAGGCGGGAGCUCAACGACCGGACUGCACUUGAAACUAUACGGCUGGAGUGCAGGAGAGGUAAGUGGAAUUCCUAGUGUAGCGGUAAAAUCCGUAGAUAUCAAGAGGAACA